rnacentral:tRNA from 1 species
GGUGCUUUUAGUUUAAGCGGUAAAAUCCCGGAUUGUGGUUCCGGAGUUCGCGGGUUCGAUUCCCCGAAAGCACCC